GUCCGCACUGUAAACGAUGAUUACUCGCUGCUAGAGGGCAACCUUUAGUGGCUUAGCGAAAGCGAUAAGUAAUCCACCUGGGGAGUACGCCGGCAACGGUGAAACUCAAAGGAAUUGACGGGGGCCCGCACAAGCGGAGGAGCAUGUGGUUUAAUUCGAUGAUACGCGAGGAACCUUACCAGGGCUUGAAAGUUAGUGACCGACUCUGAAAGGAGUCUUUCCGCAAGGACACGAAACUAGGUGCUGCAUGGCUGUCGU
rnacentral:rRNA from 1 species